CAAUCGCUAAGAAAGAAUUGAACAAGUGAUAGAAAAAAAAUGAGUAAAGUAGCGACGCUCUUCGCUUUGGCUGUUCUAUUGAGCUUCACUUUAAUGGAUGCCUCACGCCCUAACUAUUCCUUUGAGAAUCUGGAUUUGUUGCCAAGGGUUGAGAUAGAAGGUGAGAAAUGUGAAGAAGGGCUAGAAGAAUGUUUCUGGAAAAGAACUCUAGCUGCACAUCUUGAUUAUAUCUACACUCAAAACGCUAAAGAGGGUCAACACGAUUAAUCUAAUCGUAAUUUCCCUCUGCUUCUUUUUCAUAUAUUAAUAAAGUGAUUUUCUUGAAUCUUGGUUCAA